rnacentral:rRNA from 1 species
ACGGGAGGCAGCAGUGGGGAAUAUUGGGCAAUGGGCGAAAGCCUGACCCAGCAACGCCGCGUGAAGGAAGAAGGCCUUCGGGUUGUAAACUUCUUUUACCAGGGACGAAGGACGUGACGGUACCUGGAGAAAAAGCCACGGCUAACUACGUGCCAGCAGCCGCGGUAAUACGUAGGUGGCAAGCGUUGUCCGGACUUACUGGGUGUAAAGGGCGUGUAGGCGGAACUGUAAGUCAGAUGUGAAAUCCCGGGGCUCAACCCCGGAACUGCAUUUGAAACUGCAGUCCUUGAGUAUCGGAGAGGCAAGCGGAAUUCCUAGUGUAGCGGUGAAAUGCGUAGAUAUCAGGAGGAACACCGGUGGCGAAGGCGGCUUGCUGGGCUUUUACUGACGCUGAGGCUCGAAAGCGUGGGUAGCAAACAGGAUUAGAUACCCUGGUA